rnacentral:rRNA from 1 species
CCUACGGGUGGCAGCAGUGAGGAAUAUUGGUCAAUGGACGAGAGUCUGAACCAGCCAAGCAGCGUGAAGGAUGACUGCUCUAUGGGUUGUAAACUGCUUUUAUAUGGGAAUAAAACGUUCCACGUGUGGGAUUUUGUAUGUACCAUAUGAAUAAGGAUCGGCUAACUCCGUGCCAGCAGCCGCGGUAAUACGGAGGAUCCGAGCGUUAUCCGGAUUUAUUGGGUUUAAAGGGAGCGUAGGUGGAUUGUUAAGUUAGUUGUGAAAGUUUGCGGCUCAACCGUAAAAUUGCAGUUGAUACUGGCAGUCUUGAGUACAGUAGAGGUAGGCGGAAUGCGUGGUGUAGCGGUGAAAUGCUUAGAUAUCACGAAGAACUCCGAUUGCGAAGGCAGUUCACUGGACUGCAACUGACACUGAGGCUCGAAAGUGUGGGUAUCAAACAGGAUUAGAUACCCGGGUAGUC